rnacentral:rRNA from 1 species
AGACGGAGGGGGCUAGCGUUGUUCGGAAUUACUGGGCGUAAAGCGCGCGUAGGCGGCCGUUCAAGUUAGGCGUGAAAGCCCCAGGCUCAACCUGGGAACUGCGUUUAAUACUGAUAGACUAGAGACCGAGAGAGGAUGGCGGAAUUCCCAGUGUAGAGGUGAAAUUCGUAGAUAUUGGGAAGAACACCGGUUGCGAAGGCGGCCAUCUGGAUCGGCACUGACGCUGAGGUGCGAAAGCGUGGGGAGCGAACAGGAUUAGAAACCCCGGUAGUCC